rnacentral:rRNA from 1 species
GAUGAACGCUGGCGGCGUGCCUAAUACAUGCAAGUCGAGCGAACAGAUGAGGAGCUUGCUCCUCUGACGUUAGCGGCGGAAGGGUGAGUAACACGUGGAUAACCUACCUAUAAGACUGGGAUAAGUUCGGGAAACCGGAGCUAAUACCGGAUAAUAUAUUGAACCGCAUGGUUCAAUAGUGAAAGACGGUUUUGCUGUCACUUAUAGAUGGAUCCGCGCCGCAUUAGCUAGUUGGUAAGGUAACGGCUUACCAAGGCAACGAUGCGUAGCCGACCUGAGAGUGUGAUUGGCCUCAGCUCAUCUUGAACACCGUCUCCAGCCCUAAGGAUGCCAGCAGUAGGGGCACUUCCGCAAUGAGCGAAACCCUGACGGAGCAACGCCACGUGAGUGAUGAGGGUCUCACGAUCGUAAAACUCUGUUUUUAGGGAAGACCAACUGUCUAAGUAACUAUGAUCGUCUUGACGGUACCUAAUCAGAAAGCUACGGCUAACUACGUG